UGUCGUUCAUGGAGGCAUGCAUGAUGCAAUGAACCAUGGUACGAUCGUUGAGACUUAAAAUAAGUAUCUCGAACCUCUCCUCAGGCGUUAGAAGCAGGUUCUUUAGGUGAUGAAUUCGUUAUAACAUAAAGGAUCUGCUCAUGCUCCAGGACAAUCUUUAAUUUUCGAUACCAAUUAUCGAAAUUUGGUCCGGUAAGCUUCUCACUGUCCAACAG
rnacentral:lncRNA from 1 species